rnacentral:rRNA from 1 species
UCCGUAGGUGAACCUGCGGAGGGAUCAUUACCGAGUUUACAACUCCCAAACCCCUGUGAACAUACCAAUUGUUGCCUCGGCGGAUCAGCCCGCUCCCGGUAAAACGGGACGGCCCGCCAGAGGACCCCUAAACUCUGUUUCUAUAUGUAACUUCUGAGUAAAACCAUAAAUAAAUCAAAACUUUCAACAACGGAUCUCUUGGUUCUGGCAUCGAUGAAGAACGCAGCAAAAUGCGAUAAGUAAUGUGAAUUGCAGAAUUCAGUGAAUCAUCGAAUCUUUGAACGCACAUUGCGCCCGCCAGUAUUCUGGCGGGCAUGCCUGUUCGAGCGUCAUUUCAACCCUCAAGCCCAGCUUGGUGUUGGGACUCGCGAGUCAAAUCGCGUUCCCCAAAUUGAUUGGCGGUCACGUCGAGCUUCCAUAGCGUAGUAGUAAAACCCUCGUUACUGGUAAUCGUCGCGGCCACGCCGUUAAACCCCAACUUCUGAAUGUUGACCUCGGAUCAGGUAGGAAUACCCGCUGAACUUAAGCAUAUCAAUAAGCGGAGG